GUCUUUGGGUCCUAUCCUCUGGGUCCCCGACCCCCUUGGUCACCUAACGCCUACCUGACUGGACCAAUCUAGGACCCCUUUCUUGAUGUUUGUUUCCUGUGUGUCAUUGACCCGAUUUGCUAGACAACUUCUCUCUGGCUGUGCAGACACUGUUAGCCAAUUUUACGUAUUAAAUGCUGAGCAAAUUUAGUAGCCCUCGCCAGAGGGGGGAAAGAACUUAUUGAAAGCAUGUUUUUAUUUUUUAUUUUUGGAAAAAGACAUUCAAAAUUUACUUUCCAACAGACAGCAUCAUCGGGUAUAACUACAAGGGUUUCUCCUUAGAUCAUACAUUCACAAAGCAUUAUUAGCUCAACAGUGAGAAAAUGUGUUCUCUAAAGAUGUCCCCUUGACAAUGUAAACGAGUGCUACUGUGUUCACUUACAACUCGAGAAAAAAACGUACAACCUGGCAAAACCGUAUAUAUAUACAGCUGUCUCUAGGGGUGCAUACAAAUAUAUAUAUAUGUUUUGGAUCAGGUCAGGUGCAAUGACUAAGAGAUAGAACUUUGAGUAACAGUCUUGAUCGACAGUAAGGUCCUUCACACAGAAGUCAGGUUCUUCCUUUCUCCUUCCUCCUUAAGUCGAUAAAGAAAGAUUAUAUAUUGUAGAUAUUACAGGUACAAAAGGAGAUUUUUAAAAAAGGAAUCACAAAAACAUCUUGAAUGUCCAGCUGUUCCUGCCAAUACAUCAAUUCUUAGUUUUAAGACAGAGUCUAGGAUUAAUUCAGCAGUCAUAAAAUUAAAAAGAGAGACUGUGGUACAAAAAAUUUAAAAUAAAUGAGGAAGUAGGGCAUGGUGGCGUGGGCCUGUAGUCCCAGCUAUUUGAGAGACUGACGUGGGAGGAUUGCUUGAGCCCAGGAGUUGGAAGCCGGGAUGGGCAACAUAGUGAGACCCCCAUCUCUAAAUUAAAUAAAUAAAUGAGGUAGGGAAAUUAAAACUUUCACACCCAGGACAUGCCUGUUCCAACUUUGUAGCCUUCAUGCAAUGCUCAAGGAAAAAGUCUUCAUAAUUCCUUGGCAUAAGUCACACCAAGAAAAGUUUUUAAAACUUAGUAUGCGAACCUGUGAUAGGCAACACGCCCUUCCCUGAGUUUCCUCUCUAGAAUGAAAACCCAGUUCUUCAAGAGUAGGCACUGAGGAACUAAAUUAAGUUGCCUGAAAUUUCCCACUCAGGUGCCCACCACUUCUGGUGUUCAGGAAGAGAGGCAUUUGGGAAUUGUGAGGAGCACAUUGGCACUCUUGGGGCUCCAACUGAACUGUAUUUAAAUAAGCAGCAACACACACAUUGACUCCCUAAGGACUCAAAGGAGUCCAAUUGGCUGGGUGCAGUGGCUUAUGCCUGUAAUCCCAGCACUUUGAGAGAUCGAGGCGAGUGGAUCACUUGAGGUCAAGAGUUUGAGACCAGCCUGGCCAACAUGGCAAAACCCCGUCUCUACUAAAAAUACAAAAAUUAGCCAGGCGUGGUGGCAGGCGCCUGUAAUCCCAGCUACUAGGGAGGCUGAGGCAGGAGAAUCGCUUGAACCCAGGAGGCGGAGGUUUGCAGUGAGAUAUCAUGCCACUGCACUCCGGCCUGGGAGACAGAGCAAGACCAUGUCUCAAAAAUAAAUAAAUAAAUAAAAAUUAAAAACAAGUCCAUUUGAGGGCAUCCUAAUUAAGAGUCUAAGGUUGAAGGAAUUUUGUAAUUCCACAACCUUAGUGGGUUUCUGUGCUGUGUUUUUUAAAGGACAUUCAAAAAACAAGGCACAACAAAAGACAAAUACAGAGUGGGGGACAUGCAAAACAAGUUCCUAAAUAGAUGACAGACCUUGUCCAUUUACCCACAUACGGUUACGAUGGAAGCAUACAAUAUUCCUCCUCCUCAUUUAGGCUAAGUAGUUUUCCCACUGUUGUUCAACAAAUAGGUAACAGUCUUUGGAAAUAGUCACCCUGGGUUGUACAAAGUUUCUAUAUAUACAGUUUGUUGCAAGUAACAAAACUACUUUUAAGACUCACUUAUUUCCCCUCCCCACCCCAAAUCUAGUCUGUAUUUGUUUUGGUAUGAAUUUUUUGUUUUUAUUUUUUGCAAAGUAGCAUAGCAAUAAUCAUGAUUACAGGACUGCAUGAGCUGUAAAAAUCAUUUGCAUAUUAGUAAGAAUAAAGAAAACAGGAAGACAAGAUGAAUUCUUUAGAGAAAUAAAACAAAAAAAGCACAUAAUAUAGAACUGAUCAAAUUCUAUGAUCCCAUCUCAGGCUUCCCAAGCCAGCUGUCUCUAGGGGUGGCAUCUAUAAAUACAUAUUCAAGAAAUUCCUUAGAUGAUUAGCAAGUUUGGGGAAUUACUGUUUUCUAUUAGAAUCACAUUCUUUUAGUUGUCUCCUGUUUAUAAGCCCUACACUCUAGCCUAUUUGGUGUAUUUGUUGGUUCAUAAUAAUGCCCAGCAUUUAUCAUUUCUUGCUCAUACUGAUUUCUUAAUCUAUAGAGCCUCAUCCUUCUUGUGUCACUCUUUGCCUUUGCAAAUUCAGUGCAUUACUCAAACCCCAAACCAAUACUACUUCCUGAGAGUCUUUUCAGCUGGAGAGAGGUUCUUCCUGCUCAGACUACUUGUAAUUCUUUCUUUUUUUGGAGACAGUGUCUCGCUCUGUCCCCAAGGCUGGAGUGCAGUGGCGUGAUCUCGGCUCACUGCAACCUCUGCCUUCCAGGUUCAAGAGAUUCUCAUGCCUCAGCCUCCCCUGAGUAGCUGGGAUUACAGGCACCUGCCACCAUGCCCGGCUAAUUUUUGUAUUUUUUUAGUAGAGACAGGGUUUCACCAUGUUGGCCAGGCUGGUCUCAAACUCCUGACGACAGGUGAUCCACCUGCCUCGGCCUCCCGAAGUGCUGGGGUUACAGACGUGAGCCACUGCACCCAGCCACUACUUGUAUUUUUAAAUGACACCUUUUAAAUGUACUUAUGGUAUUUCCCCUAUUAGAAGAGCGGGAUCUGUAAUCUCCAAUAUAUUCAGUGCUUACUGUGUGCCAGGUACUACGCUAAGUCUUUAUAUGCUCUUAUUUUGAUAGGAAGUUUGCUAAAUGAAAGUUAAACUAGAAAUGUCUUC
rnacentral:lncRNA from 10 species